AAGUGCGAAUGCUGACAUAAGUAACGAUAAAGCGGGUGAAAAGCCCGCUCGCCGGAAGACCAAGGGUUCCUGUCCAACGUUAAUCGGGGCAGGGUGAGUCGACCCCUAAGGCGAGGCCGAAAGGCGUAGUCGAUGGGAAACGGGUUAAUAUUCCCGUACUUGGUGUUACUGCGAAGGGGGGACGGAGAAGGCUAUGUUGGCCGGGCGACGGUUGUCCCGGUUUAAGCGUGUAGGUGUGUGUUCCAGGUAAAUCCGGUUCACUUUAACACUGAGGCGUGACGACGAGGCACUACGGUGCUGAAGCAACAAAUGCCCUGCUUCCAGGAAAAGCCUCUAAGCAUCAGGUAACAUCAAAUCGUACCCCAAACCGACACAGGUGGUCAGGUAGAGAAUACCAAGGCGCUUGAGAGAACUCGGGUGAAGGAACUAGGCAAAAUGGUGCCGUAACUUCGGGAGAAGGCACGCUGACACGUAGGUGAAGUGAUUUACUCACGGAGCUGAAGUCAGUCGAAGAUACCAGCUGGCUGCAACUGUUUAUUAAAAACACAGCACUGUGCAAACACGAAAGUGGACGUAUACGGUGUGACGCCUGCCCGGUGCCGGAAGGUUAAUUGAUGGGGUCAGCGCAAGCGAAGCUCCUGAUCGAAGCCCCGGUAAACGGCGGCCGUAACUAUAACGGUCCUAAGGUAGCGAAAUUCCUUGUCGGGUAAGUUCCGACCUGCACGAAUGGCGUAAUGAUGGCCAGGCUGUCUCCACCCGAGACUCAGUGAAAUUGAACUCGCUGUGAAGAUGCAGUGUACCCGCGGCAAGACGGAAAGACCCCGUGAACCUUUACUAUAGCUUGACACUGAACAUUGAGCCUUGAUGUGUAGGAUAGGUGGGAGGCUUUGAAGCGUGGACGCCAGUCUGCGUGGAGCCGACCUUGAAAUACCACCCUUUAAUGUUUGAUGUUCUAACGUGGACCCGUGAUCCGGGUUGCGGACAGUGUCUGGUGGGUAGUUUGACUGGGGCGGUCUCCUCCUAAAGAGUAACGGAGGAGCACGAAGGUUGGCUAAUCCUGGUCGGACAUCAGGAGGUUAGUGCAAUGGCAUAAGCCAGCUUGACUGCGAGCGUGACGGCGCGAGCAGGUGCGAAAGCAGGUCAUAGUGAUCCGGUGGUUCUGAAUGGAAGGGCCAUCGCUCAACGGAUAAAAGGUACUCCGGGGAUAACAGGCUGAUACCGCCCAAGAGUUCAUAUCGACGGCGGUGUUUGGCACCUCGAUGUCGGCUCAUCACAUCCUGGGGCUGAAGUAGGUCCCAAGGGUAUGGCUGUUCGCCAUUUAAAGUGGUACGCGAGCUGGGUUUAGAACGUCGUGAGACAGUUCGGUCCCUAUCUGCCGUGGGCGCUGGAGAACUGAGGGGGGCUGCUCCUAGUACGAGAGGACCGGAGUGGACGCAUCACUGGUGUUCGGGUUGUCAUGCCAAUGGCACUGCCCGGUAGCUAAAUGCGGAAGAGAUAAGUGCUGAAAGCAUCUAAGCACGAAACUUGCCCCGAGAUGAGUUCUCCCUGAGACUUUAGGUCUCCUGAAGGAACGUUGAAGACGACGACGUUGAUAGGCCGGGUGUGUAAGCGCAGCGAUGCGUUGAGCUAACCGGUACUAAUGAACCGUGAGGCUUAACCUUACAACGCCGAAG
rnacentral:rRNA from 1 species